UACGGAGGGUGCGAGCGUUAUCCGGAUUCACUGGGUUUAAAGGGUGCGUAGGUGGGAAUGUAAGUCAGUGGUGAAAUCUCUGAGCUUAACUCAGAAACUGCCAUUGAUACUAUGUUUCUUGAAUUUUCUGGAGGUCAGCGGAAUAUGUCAUGUAGCGGUGAAAUGCUUAGAUAUGACAUAGAACACCAAUGGCGAAGGCAGCUGGCUACAGGGAUAUUGACACUGAGGCACGAAAGCGUGGGGAUCAAACAGG
rnacentral:rRNA from 1 species